UACGAAGGGGGCUAGCGUUGUUCGGAAUCACUGGGCGUAAAGGGCGCGUAGGCGGCUUUAUAAGUCGGGGGUGAAAGCCUGUGGCUCAACUACAGAAUUGCCUUCGAUACUGUAUGGCUUGAGACCGGAAGAGGUAAGUGGAACUGCGAGUGUAGAGGUGAAAUUCGUAGAUAUUCGCAAGAACACCAGUGGCGAAGGCGGCUUACUGGUCCGGUUCUGACGCUGAGGCGCGAAAGCGUGGGGAGCAAACAGG
rnacentral:rRNA from 1 species